rnacentral:rRNA from 1 species
CCUACGGGAGGCAGCAGUGGGGAAUAUUGGACAAUGGGGGCAACCCUGAUCCAGCCAUGCCGCGUGUGUGAAGAAGGCCCUCGGGUUGUAAAGCACUUUCAGUGAGGAAGAACGCCUGGUGGUUAAUACCCAUCAGGAAAGACAUCACUCACAGAAGAAGCACCGGCUAACUCCGUGCCAGCAGCCGCGGUAAUACGGAGGGUGCGAGCGUUAAUCGGAAUUACUGGGCGUAAAGCGCGCGUAGGUGGCUUGAUAAGCCGGUUGUGAAAGCCCCGGGCUCAACCUGGGAACGGCAUCCGGAACUGUCAAGCUAGAGUGCAGGAGAGGAAGGGAGAAUUCCCGGUGUAGCGGUGAAAUGCGUAGAGAUCGGGAGGAAUACCAGUGGCGAAGGCGGCCUUCUGGACUGACACUGACACUGAGGUGCGAAAGCGUGGGUAGCAAACAGGAUUAGAUACCCUGUAGUC